rnacentral:tRNA from 1 species
AGACACGUAGCUUAAUGGUAAAGCCACAUACUUCGGUAUCUUUGCAGGUUCGAUUCCUGCCGUGUCUA